rnacentral:ncRNA from 1 species
UUAUGGUUUGUAAAUUUUAUUUUAAGUUUAUUUUACAUGUAAAUUUUAGUGUUAAAUAUUAAUUAUUUAAAUAAUAUUUAAUUUUUGUGCAGUAAUUAAUUUUAAAAAUUUAAGAAAUUAAGAUUUAGUAAUAUUUAAAUUAAUAACUAAUUUUGUGCCAGCAGUUGCGGUUAAACAAAAGUUAAUUUAAAUUUUUUUUAGUUAUUAAUAAUUAAUAUUGUUUAUAAUUUAAAUUAAAAAUUAUUAGGUGAAAUUUUAAUUUAUAAAAAAUUAUUUAAUAAUUAUGAAUUAGUAAAUUUUAUAAAAAAACUAGGAUUAGAUACCCUAUUAUUAAAAAAUUAAAUUUAUAAUACUAAAAUAGUAAAUAAUUUAUUGAAACUUAAAUAAUUUGGCGGUAUUUUAGUUUAUUUAGAGGAAUCUGUUUAAUAAUUGAUAAUCCACGAAUAAAUUUACUUAAUUUAAAAUUUUGUAUAUCGUUGUUAAAAAAAUAUUUUAUGAUAAAAAUAAUAUUUAAAAAUUUUUAUAUAAAAUUAAAUCAGAUCAAGAUGCAGAUUAUAAUUAAGAAUAUAAUGGAUUACAAUAAAUUUAUUUAAAUUGGAAUUUAAUAUGGAAAGAUUAAAUGAAAUUGGAUUUAAAUGUAAUUUUAUAAAAUUUUAUAAAAUGAUUAAUAAUUAAAAUAUGUACAUAUUGCCCGUCGCUUUCAUUUAAAAAUUGGAAUAAGUCGUAACAAAGUAGAGGUACUGGAAAGUGUUUCUAGAAAGAU